AGCAGUUCACAGGGUCCCUUUUCACAAGCAUCUAUGACGUCUGAAAGUUCAAAGUACACCGCAGAGAUAUGCACGCAAGUUUAAAAGCAUUGGUUGGAUGUUUUCUUUGAACGGGUUCCAGGGCAUUUGUUUCAUGGCUGUCUGAGGGAAACAAAUCACAGGGACUGAAGAAACUUGAAAAAUGAAUGAGGGUGUGGAGAGAGAGAUCGGGAAAGAGAGAUCAGUGAGAAGGCAUAAAGGCACCAAACUGAAGUCCUUACAGUAUCACAAAUGCCUCAAAUAAGACUUCCAUCAUGCUAUCAGGGAUUCCAUCAGGACCAAGGGACCUUCAAAUCCGUUAAUUUGCUCGGCACUAUCUCCUUAGUGACAGCAACUGUAUCAAGGUUCUUUUUGCAUAUUUAAUGUGUCCUGCACCAUGAAGGCUGACACAAAACCAUUGUUCAAAGCAUCGCCCAUUUCUACAUUACCCGAUAUUAAUUUCUCUUUCUCAUUUUCCAGAGAAUCUAUGUUCACAGUAGCCACUCUUUUCCACAUUUUACAAUUAUAAAUAAAAUAUUAUCUGUUA